CACGUAGGGGGCGAGCGUUGUCCGGAUUUAUUGGGCGUAAAGAGCUCGUAGGCGGUUUGUCGCGUCUGCUGUGAAAUCCCGAGGCUCAACCUCGGGUCUGCAGUGGGUACGGGCAGACUGGAGUGCGGUAGGGGAGAAUGGAAUUCCUGGUGUAGCGGUGGAAUGCGCAGAUAUCAGGAGGAACACCGAUGGCGAAGGCAGUUCUCUGGGCCGUAACUGACGCUGAGGAGCGAAAGCGUGGGGAGCGAACAGG
rnacentral:rRNA from 1 species